GACCUUCACCUACGGGAAACAUGUAUACACCACUGCAGAAACGUGUGCAUGUUUUCCGUAGGUGAAGGUUAAAAGAAAAGA
rnacentral:miRNA from 1 species